rnacentral:misc_RNA from 1 species
UUUCCGUAGGUGAACCUGCGGAAGGAUCAUUCACAAUAAGUGUUUUAUGGCACUUUUUUAAAUCCAUAUCCACCUUGUGUGCAAUGUCAGAGUUGAUUUUUCUCUCGAGAGGAUCAACCCCAAACAUCAACUAUAUCUCAACUCUUUGUCUGAAAAAUAUUAUGAAUAAAACAAUUCAAAAUACAACUUUCAACAACGGAUCUCUUGGCUCUC